rnacentral:rRNA from 1 species
GACAGAGGAGCCAAGCGUUGUCCGGAUUGACUGGGCGUAAGCGCACGCAGGUGGUUGCGGGCGUCGGUGCUGACAACUCGCCGCUUAACGGCGAGAGGCGUGCCGAUACGCCGCGACUCGAGGCCGUGAGAGGUCCAUGGAAUUGCCGGUGUAGUGGUGAAAUGCGUAGAGAUCGGCAGGAACACCAAUUGCGAAAGCAGCGGACUGGUG